CUUUGCAGCUUGCCUGCUGCCUGGAUUGCCGGCCAGGAGAACAAGCUGGAGAGAUGGCGAAGAGGGCAAGUGGCUGAGGAGCCUUGGGGCUGGGCAGGGGGCAAUGGGGAGUCACGUGAGGUGCCUCUGGGGGGCCCCUCCAGGCAGUGGGGCCCCCAGACAACUGUCUCCCCUUGCCCUAUCGUUGUUACGCGCCUGAAUGAACUGGUGGAGAAUAUCUUUGUGGACACGCCACAGAUAUGAAACCUUAAGUUGUACGGGAUGUUCCAGUAUCUCCCAUCAAGAACAGCAGAGGGCAUUAGACUGAAUCUGAGAAAGCAAAUUGCUUUUCUCUAUGCAAAAUCAGGCUUCAAAGGGUUCAGCAUGACUGGAAGAGAUUUAGAAUAUAUUGAAAUGAGUUGUG